UCCAGUUGUUGGUGGUAAUGCACCUUAAAGUUGGUGGCCUACUGCCGUAUAAAGUACGAAGAAGCCUGAAGGAGGAGAGAUUACUAGAAAACAAACGUUAACCUGUGGAUUAAUUUUCGGGGUAGAAGACUUUGUGCAUUUCAGGUUAUAUCAGCUGUGUCGGUGAACUCCUCCCACAUCUGAACUGGCUGACGGAGGGCACAGCAUGCUGAGAGGUAUGUUCUGAUGUGAGAGGAUAAACUGGGUGCUCGAGGCUGUUCGGAGACAUGGCCAGAGACACUUAUGUAUCUGUGGUAAACAGAGAAUAUUAGGGUAACCCUGUAAUUCAUGAAUCAUAUGCUGUCUUCCCUGUUCCUCUGUUCUUACUACUUUGUCUCUCUCAUACCUCUCCCCAACUUCCUUUUCAUCUGUUUUUAUAAUGGCCACCAGAUGUGCAUUGAAGUACAGGUUGAACAUUUUAUUUAGAAUAUAUUACAUGUAUAAUGCAUGUAUUUAUAACACUUGGAUAAUGAACUUUCAGUAAAGCGUUUCACGUUCUCAACUGGUUGAAAUGAAGUCUCGUUUGAUGACAUACUAUGCCUAUCCUGUGUUUAUCAGACCAAUGCAGAAGAAGUGUUUGCUAUUGAGAUGAACUGGUUUUAUAGUAGUUACAUGAUGCAAAGGAAGUGUAGUGUACUGUUUUUAAAUAAAACUAAUAUGUUUUUGUAUAUAUGAAUUAUAAAUCCGCCUUUAACUAAAGUUUCUAGUCUAUUGCAUAGUUACAAUGUGUAACCAUUGAGGGACCUGGAUUGGAAAAACACUGGAAGUUAAUAAUUGUCAUACAUACACA